GACGAAACAAAACUAUCCAUAGCCGCUGCAUGUUUAUGCACCUGUCAUGAUUGAUUCAGGGGCCUGUCGUUCAGCAGUUAUCGUUUGUUGAUGUUGUUCAUUGGUAUUUUCACGUUUGGAUAUAUAAAUUAGAUCGUUGGUUUUCCUGUUCGAAUUGUGUACGCUAAUAAUUUUGGGGUCCUUUAUAGCUUGCUGUUUGGUCUGUAUCAAAGCCCUGUGUAAAAAGCCGUACUUUGGCCUGUGUUUGUUAUUAUCAGGUUGAGAACAACCGUAGUCUCAGACAAGGGGUCAUUUUACUGAUGUAGAAAAGAAAAUAGAAAUACCAAGGAUUUGUAUAUUUCUUCUAUACAAAACCUUUGAAAACUUAGAAUUUUG
rnacentral:lncRNA from 1 species